GAGGCAGCUUUAUGGAGGCCAAUAUGCAGACAAGGGAGGUAACUCAGGCAUUUUUGGGGAGAGGUAGAGAACGAGGAGAAAAGACUGAACUGACUGCUCUUCUGGACAAGAACUAUGACUAUAUGUGGUACUCCCAGAAUGCUGGUCUCCUUUCAGACCCAUCCAGUGAGGUCCUUUUGGAUUGGACCGAAGACCCCCUCUGGAGAGCUCUCUCUGUAGCCUAUACUAAUGACAUUGGCCACUGGCCAGGGCUCCAUCCCUUCCUGGCUUCCACCCCAAGGAGUCCAAGCCCCAGACAGUUAGCAUAGAGAUCAUCCAGAUUUUGCAUUUCCAUAGGAAGGAUUGAUGGAGACUUCAAGAAUAAUGUAUCAAAGUGCCAAUUUCUUUCUAAAGGGCUGGGGAGGAUACUAUUGACAGCAGCAGAAAGGGGUAGCAGUGGUUUGCUUUCCAAAUGGUGAAAAGAAGGGCCUGGCGGUGGCACCCGGUCCACGCAUCAUUAAAAAUGGAUUCUCCUGCUUCAUUUGGAAUUCGACCAAAUGAACUCAAAGAAACUCUGGACAAGGACCAGCACAGAGCCCCGAGCAAAAUACAGCAAGAGAAUCUGCUUUGCUCAUUCACUGAGUGCCUACUGUGUGCCAAGUACUAUGCUAUGUGCAGAGUGUACACUGAUGAAUAAAACAGACACAUUCCCUGGAGCCUGUGAAUCUUUCCAUCUAGCCACAGGUAAUAAAAAGUAAGAAGAAUACAAAGGAAGAGUGGGGCAGAAAUACUCAAGCAAAAUGAGGGUGAGAUUGAAGUCCCUGAACACAUAGUACCCUUUACUCUUGAUCUUAGCCAAAACGCUGAGAAGAGAUUACAGUGCUUUUUAAAGGUAGCAUUUCACCCAGCCAAUAAUCAACCCCUCUGACCUUCUAGAGGCACAAGGCCACACACUCAAAUUCUUUAAUCAAACAAUAGGCUAGUACAAAUGGAGCUAUUUCUUAAACCCAGCUGUUUACACAGCAGCUACAAAUCUGUUCAGAAAGAAUCCCCCACCAUCCACAACUGCCAUCGAGCAGAUGCUCAACAGUGGCUGUCUCUCACCAGUCAGGACAAGAGAACAGGUUUGAACGUCUUCUGUCUUCCGUUUCUGGAACUUCACAAGCUGCGUCUUCAGUGCCCAGCGGAUGCUGCAACCUCUUCCCAGCUCUCCUCUUAGAACAAUAGUGAUUUUUUUUUAGAGGCAUAAUAAGGAAGGUUUGCAUUGAAUUAUUAAACAAUGGGCAUUGAAAGAUAUGUUUUCUUUGACCUCUGUACCUCUAGCUUUUACCAGUCAGUGUUUUCCUGUACAAAGGCUAAGAUAUGUAUAAUAUUGAAAUGGAUGUCUUCUUAUAUAGUAUUUUACAAGCUUUGGAAAACCUUUUAAUAAAUUUUAAAACGU